rnacentral:rRNA from 1 species
AUGCAAGUCGAACGGGACCCACUUCGGUGGACGACCGUGGCGGACGGGUGAGUAACACGUGGAGAACCUGCCCACAGGCGGGGGAUAACCCUGGGAAACCGGGUGUAAUACCGCAUGGGCUCUGUUGGCUUAUAGGGUUGGCAAGUAAAGGUCAUUUUCGGAUGGCCGCCUGUGGAGGGCUCUGCGGCCUAUCAGCUAGACGGUGGGGUAAUGGCCUACCGUGGCGAUGACGGGUAGCUGGUCUGAGAGGACGAUCAGCCACACGGGGACUGAGACACGGCCCCGACUCCUACGGGAGGCAGCAGCAAGGAAUAUUCCACAAUGGGCGAAAGCCUGAUGGAGCGACGCCGCGUGGAGGAUGACGCCUUUCGGGGUGUAAACUCCUUUUCUCAGUGACGAAGACAGUGACGGUAGCUGAGGAAUAAGCACCGGCUAACUACGUGCCAGCAGCCGCGGUAAGACGUAGGGUGCAAGCGUUGUCCGGAGUUACUGGGCGUAAAGGGCGCGUAGGCGGUGCGUCGCGUCGCACGUGAAAGCCCCCGGCUCAACCGGGGAGGGUCGUGCGAUACGGGCGUACUGGAGGCAGGGAGAGGCGAGUGGAAUUCCCGGUGUAGUGGUGAAAUGCGUAUAUUUCGGGGGGAACCACAGGGGCGAAGGGCGGUUCCUGGCCCUGACCCUAACCUAAGGCACAAGGGCUGGGGGAAGCAAACCGGGAUUUGAGAUACCCCGGUUGUCCACGCCAGUAAACGAUCGCGGAACGAGGUGUGGGGGGAUUUGGACCCCCUUCCGUGCCGGCGGCUUAACGCAGUAAGUCCGCCGCCUGGGGAGUACGGCCGCAAGGCUAAAACUCAAAGGAAUCGACGGGGGCCCGCACAAGCAGCGGAGCGUGUGGUUUAAUUCGACGCAACGCGCAGAACCUUACCAGGGCUUGACAUCCGCCGAAUCCCGGUGAAAGUCGGGAGUGCCCUUCGGGGAGCGGCGAGACAGGUGCUGCAUGGCUGUCGUCAGCUCGUGUCGUGAGAUGUUGGGUUAAGUCCCGCAACGAGCGCAACCCCUGUGACUAGUUACGGUCGUGUCUAGUCAGACUGCCGGGCGCAACCCGGAGGAAGGGGGGGAUGACGUCAAGUCAGCAUGGCCCUUACGCCCUGGGCUACACACACGCUACAAUGGCCGGGACAACGGGCAGCCAAGCGGUAACGCGGAGCGAAUCCCGAAAACCCGGUCUCAGUUCGGAUUGUGGGCUGCAACUCGCCCGCAUGAAGUCGGAGUUGCUAGUAACCGUGGGUCAGCCAUACCGCGGUGAAUAUGUUCCCGGGCCUUGUACACACCGCCCGUCACGUCACGAAAGCCGGCAACACCUGAAGCCGGUGGGCCAACCUGCUUCGGCAGGAGGCAGCCGUCGAGGGUGGGGCUGGUGAUUGGGACGAAGUCGUAACAAGGUAGCCGUAGCGGAAGCUGCGGCUGGAUCACCUCCU